rnacentral:rRNA from 1 species
CAGCAGCCGCGGUAAUACGGAGGGUGCAAGCGUUGUUCGGAAUUAUUGGGCGUAAAGGGCGUGUAGGCGGCCGGAUAAGUCGGAUGUGAAAUCCCUCAGCUCAACUGAGGAAUUGCAUUCGAUACUGCCUGGCUAGAGUCCGGGAUGGGGUAGCGGAAUUCCCAGUGUAGCGGUGAAAUGCUUAGAUAUGACAUAGAACACCAAUUGCGAAGGCAGCUUGCUACACGGUCAUUGACACUGAGGCACGAAAGCGUGGGGAGCAAACAGGAUUAGAUACCCUGGUAGUCCACGCCCUAAACUAUGGAUACUCGACAUCAGCGAUACACAGUUGGUGUCUGAGCGAAAGCAUUAAGUAUCCCACCUGGGAAGUACGAUCGCAAGAUUGAAACUCAAAGGAAUUGACGG